GGAUGAGGUGUGGGUAGCGGAGAAAUUCCAAUCGAACUUGGAGAUAGCUGGUUCUCUCCGAAAUAGCUUUAGGGCUAGCCUCGAGGUAAAGAGUCAUGGAGGUAGAGCACUGUUUGGACUAGGGGCCCUUCUCGGGUUACCGAAUUCAGAUAAACUCCGAAUGCCAUGUACUUAUACUCGGGAGUCAGACUGCGAGUGAUAAGAUCCGUAGUCGAAAGGGAAACAGCCCAGACCACCAGUUAAGGUCCCCAAAUAUAUGUUAAGUGGAAAAGGAUGUGGGGUUGCUUAGACAACCAGGAUGUUGGCUUAGAAGCAGCCACCAUUGAAAGAGUGCGUAAUAGCUCACUGGUCGAGUGACCCCGCGCC
rnacentral:rRNA from 1 species